rnacentral:rRNA from 1 species
GACGAACGCUGGCGGCGUGCUUAACACAUGCAAGUCGAACGGAAAGGCCCUGCUUUUGUGGGGUGCUCGAGUGGCGAACGGGUGAGUAACACGUGAGUAACCUGCCCUUGACUUUGGGAUAACUUCAGGAAACUGGGGCUAAUACCGGAUAGGAGCUCCUGCUGCAUGGUGGGGGUUGGAAAGUUUCGGCGGUUGGGGAUGGACUCGCGGCUUAUCAGCUUGUUGGUGGGGUAGUGGCUUACCAAGGCUUUGACGGGUAGCCGGCCUGAGAGGGUGACCGGCCACAUUGGGACUGAGAUACGGCCCAGACUCCUACGGGAGGCAGCAGUGGGGAAUAUUGCACAAUGGGCGGAAGCCUGAUGCAGCAACGCCGCGUGCGGGAUGACGGCCUUCGGGUUGUAAACCGCUUUCGCCUGUGACGAAGCGUGAGUGACGGUAAUGGGUAAAGAAGCACCGGCUAACUACGUGCCAGCAGCCGCGGUGAUACGUAGGGUGCGAGCGUUGUCCGGAUUUAUUGGGCGUAAAGGGCUCGUAGGUGGUUGAUCGCGUCGGAAGUGUAAUCUUGGGGCUUAACCCUGAGCGUGCUUUCGAUACGGGUUGACUUGAGGAAGGUAGGGGAGAAUGGAAUUCCUGGUGGAGCGGUGGAAUGCGCAGAUAUCAGGAGGAACACCAGUGGCGAAGGCGGUUCUCUGGGCCUUUCCUGACGCUGAGGAGCGAAAGCGUGGGGAGCGAACAGGCUUAGAUACCCUGGUAGUCCACGCUGUAAACGGUGGGUACUAGGUGUGGGGUCCAUUCCACGGGUUCCGUGCCGUAGCUAACGCUUUAAGUACCCCGCCUGGGGAGUACGGCCGCAAGGCUAAAACUCAAAGGAAUUGGCGGGGCCCCGCACAAGCGGCGGAGCAUGCGGAUUAAUUCGAUGCAACGCGUAGAACCUUACCUGGGUUUGACAUGGAUCGGGAGCGCUCAGAGAUGGGUGUGCCUCUUUCGGGGUCGGUUCACAGGUGGUGCAUGGCUGUCGUCAGCUCGUGUCGUGAGAUGUUGGGUUAAGUCCCGCAACGAGCGCAACCCUUGUUCACUGUUGCCAGCACGUUAUGGUGGGGACUCAGUGGAGACCGCCGGGGUCAACUCGGAGGAAGGUGGGGAUGACGUCAAGUCAUCAUGCCCCUUAUGUCCAGGGCUUCACGCAUGCUACAAUGGCUGGUACAGAGAGUGGCGAGCCUGUGAGGGUGAGCGAAUCUCGGAAAGCCGGUCUCAGUUCGGAUUGGGGUCUGCAACUCGACCUCAUGAAGUCGGAGUCGCUAGUAAUCGCAGAUCAGCAACGCUGCGGUGAAUACGUUCCCGGGGCU